rnacentral:rRNA from 1 species
GACGAACGCUGGCGGCGUGCCUAAUACAUGCAAGUCGAACGCACUCUCGUUUAGAUUGAAGGAGUUUGCUCCUGAUUGAUAAACAUUUGAGUGAGUGGCGGACGGGUGAGUAACACGUGGGUAACCUGCCCUAAAGUGGGGGAUAACAUUUGGAAACAGAUGCUAAUACCGCAUAAAACCUAACACCGCAUGGUGUAGGGUUGAAAGAUGGUUUCGGCUAUCACUUUAGGAUGGACCCGCGGUGCAUUAGUUAGUUGGCGAGGUAAAGGCUCACCAAGACCGUGAUGCAUAGCCGACCUGAGAGGGUAAUCGGCCACACUGGGACUGAGACACGGCCCAGACUCCUACGGGAGGCAGCAGUAGGGAAUCUUCCACAAUGGACGAAAGUCUGAUGGAGCAACGCCGCGUGAGUGAAGAAGGUUUUCGGAUCGUAAAACUCUGUUGUUGGAGAAGAAUGUAUCUGAUAGUAACUGAUCAGGUAGUGACGGUAUCCAACCAGAAAGCCACGGCUAACUACGUG